GGCUCUGCACCCUUCCGGCCGCUAAGACAAGGCCUCAGACACGGGGUUCUGCCCUGUCUACUGUCAGCAGAGCCAAGCUGAGAAGGAUGGGCACGAGAAAAGGUUGCUAACUUUGGAGGAAGCCAGCUGCCAUGUCACAAAAAGAUUCAGGAAGCCAUGUGGAGAGGCCCACAUCAUGAGGAACUGAGGUCUUUGCCAAUUACCAGCAAGGAAAUGAGGCCUCCUGCCAACAGCCACGUGAGUAUCCUACCUUGGAAAUGGACCCUCUAACUUCAAUCAGCCUUCAAAUAACUGCAGCCCCAGUUGAUGGCUUGACUGCAACCUUAGGAGAAACCCUGAGCCAAAAACAUUGAGGAAAAACACCCCCAGAUUCCUAUCAGAAAUUGUGUAAGAUAAUAAAUGUUUGUUGUUUUAAGCUGCUAA
rnacentral:lncRNA from 1 species